rnacentral:rRNA from 1 species
CCUACGGGUGGCAGCAGUGAGGAAUAUUGGUCAAUGGCCGAAAGUCUGAACCAGCCAUGCCGCGUGCAGGAUGACGGCUCUAUGAGUUGUAAACUUCUUUUGUCUGAGGGUAAACACCCCUACGUGUAAGUGCUUGAAAGUAUAAUACGAAUAAGCAUCGGCUAACUCCGUGCCAGCAGCCGCGGUAAUACGGAGGAUCCAAGCGUUAUCCGGAUUUGUUGGGUUUAAAGGGUGCGUAGGCGGGAGGACAAGUUAGAGGUGAAAUACCGGGGCUCAACACCGGAACUGCCGCUAAUACUGUUGAACUAGAGAGUAGGUGCGGUAGGCGGAAUGUAUGGUGUAGCGGUGAAAUGCUGAGAGAUCAUACAGAACACCGAUUGCGAAGGCAGCUUACCAAACUAUAUCUGACGCUGAGGCACGAAAGCGUGGGUAGCAAACAGGAUUAGAUACCCCUGUAGUC